CAAGAUAUAGCUUAACUAAAGCAUCUAGUUUACACCUAGAAGAUUUCACAUGUCAUGAAUAUCUUGA
rnacentral:tRNA from 1 species